rnacentral:rRNA from 1 species
UACAGAGGGGGCUAGCGUUGUUCGGAAUUAUUGGGCGUAAAGGGCGUGUAGGCGGUUUGUUAAGUCAUGUGUGAAAUCCCUCGGCUCAACCGGGGAACGACGCAUGAAACUGGCAAGCUAGAGUACCAAAGAGGGGGGUGGAAUUCCCGGUGUAGCGGUGAAAUGCGUAGAGAUCGGGAGGAACACCGGUGGCGAAGGCAGCCUCCUGGGCCAGCACUGACGCUCAUGCACGAAAGCGUGGGGAGCAAACAGG